GUUCGUGUAGCCGUCACAGUUGCAGCUGUCUUGCUCCCGGCCACCAUUACCCGAAGCCCAGACGAAGAUGGAGCCCAGUCCGCUGCGUCCCUGUGGUGCAGAAACAUACACCUUCAUGUGGCUGGAGUCCAGGAACAGACAAGGUUAAGAGGGAGAAGCUAUCAGGAGCUGGUUCAACCCGAGGCCCGCUGACCCAUUCUUGAUGACUGCUGCCUGAGGCCAAGCUGGAUCCAGAGACAGAGGCAGCGGGACUGUCAGGACCCCACAUAUCUGUAAUAGCCUCUGGGUUGACAACAACACUCAGUGUCCCUUUCCUAAGGUUACAGAAGCCAGACGAUAAAAGUCCAGUGCCAAGGGUUACCUCGCUGCCAGGAGAGCACACACUGAACCAGUCAGCUCCUGCUUUGUUGCUGUGAGGCACUUUUUCCUCACUAACACACCAUGAUAUCUGGAGCACUUUGCAUUUUGGGAUUCUAUAAAUGAGUCGUUCGGUUUGACUGAAAAUUUUCAUUAAUUUAUAUGCCAAUUAGUGCAGAGUUUGAAUGUAACUGUUGUUCCGCAUCAGUGACUGCUCCUCUCUUUCUAUUUUCUCCUAUCUCACAUUUAUCAUUAGCCUAUUCUCAUAAUGUCUUUUGAUGCCACAUAGUGACACAUGAAAAAUGGUGGUAUUAGACUUAGAUAAUAGUCCAUACUGUUUAAUGUUUUAUUCUAUUCAAGCUUGAAUGACUAGGCAGAGGGCAAUUUUGCAAACUAACCUUGAGUUUGUCCUCCUCAGUCUUGGGAAGCCAUCAUCAAUUAAAAAGUAAUAUGCUCUGACUGUACAGGUGGAAAAUUGUC